AAAAAAUGGCUUUACUUAAGAUGGUGUCUGCAUGUAAUCUCUCAAAUGUUUCCUAGGACUGCCAUAACAAAGUACCACAAACCGGGUGGCUUAAAACCACAGAAAUUCAUUCUCUCAGAGUUCCUGAGGCCAGAUGUCCAAAAUCAAGGAUUAUGGUAAGGAAUAGAUGAGCUGGCCCUUGUGAAGAACUAUGCAAAGGACUUGAUAUGAG